GGGAGACACACACUGCACCGAUGUGGGAGACACACACUACACCGCUGUGGGAGACACACACUACACCGCUGUGGGAGACACACACUAC